GUAAAGCCGCGCCGCGCGUUCACUAAUGCGUCAUAUCGCUAACUGACCUGACGUGUGUUUGUACGACCCGUUAAGACAGUUCGCGCGCGCCAUGUGAACUUCUGUGUUGAUUUAUGUAUAUUCAUACAAAAAGUAAUGCGUGGGAACAACAUAACUUCCAUUUACUUGAAUUUUGAAAAAUAUGGACAGUGAAUAUGUUGCAUGUGCGCAAAGACAGUGGUUCAAGCGGUUGACGCACGUGUUCGGCAUGCGCUCCUGAAAUCGAAUAUGGCCACAUGCCUGGACAGGCGGAUGUUGCGACGAAGAUGUAAAUGGAGAUGAAAUCAUCUGCGCUGCACGAAAAAAUGUUUAACGCAUACAAUGUGUACGUUUCAUCAUGAGAAAGGUAUAUAAUCGGCAAAGGAAGGACAAAUAAACUAAUUAGGCGUUGUAAUUACCCUCGGACCUGACUGAUGUUGAACAAUGACAGUUGCUGAUACGCCUCAAAGAAGUUCAAGAUGUCAGCUUUUGAAAAAAAUUAACAAAGAAGGAAUUACGCACAGACAGCUUCCUGUACGGCGUGAGGCGCUGCAUAUGUCAUCAUCGCGAAUGACGUCAGCUUGAUUCAUCAAUGCUAGUCUGAGGAAUAUUAUUACCGAUCAGAUCACGAUAUAGAACGAAAUCUAGGAACAAGGAUCAAGAAGUUAUAUUGUCCACGGAUAAACAUUCUAGUAUUUUAAAUAAAAUAAAUUAAUAAUUAUAGGAAAAUUCAUUGACAAAUAAAAUAAA